ensembl:lncRNA
CCUUCUGCCCAGGGUCCCUGAGUGUUGCUGCUGAGAUCCAGAACCCCUUCAGGCUCACCUUGGGCUGGGGCUCUGCCAGAGGUGGCACAAGGAUUCCCAUUCCGAAGACUCUCACUGAGACCUGCUUUUGCUGGCCUGGUUGGUGCAGGGCUUGAAGAUGCUGUGCUUAAUGCGACUUGUUACAGCUCUCACAGCACUCCCAGUUGAAUGGUUUCGACAGAUAAAGAAAUGGGGUUUGCAGUCUGGGACAGUGAGCAUCUACCCAGGAUAUGUCCUAGGGGUAGUGGGGGUGCAAAACAGAGCCUCUCCCUGCAGUGAGGACCCCUUCCACAAGCCCUUUCCAAGAGUCCCUAUGUGCCUGACCGCGUGCUGCCUGUGGCCCCACGUCGAGGGGGCAUGUAGAGCAGCCAGGGCAUCUGCUGGAGUUGAAGGAAUAGUGGAAAGGAAGGCCUGAAAGAGAAAAUGCAUGGCACCUGCGUUCUAUUAGGGGAAACACCCACACAGGUAAAGGAACACUGUUAUUUGUGGAAUUUGGAUCCAGUUGUCCAGUAAUCGUUGGCCGAAGAUCAUCCCAAAUUUUAGAUAGCGCUUCCUUCCAAAAUAUGGCGACCUUAGAUAACUGAGUAUCCAGGGAAGGGAUGUAAUAUAUGUAAACAGUUAAUACAGUUCAGCUCUUCCGACAUCUAUGUCAUUGGGUAGAUUGCCUUAGAGAGCUGCUUCUGCAAAUGUGAAGGCUUUGGGGGAAGUUUUCUCAGCCUGCGCUGGGCUAUUUGAGGGUGGAUCACUCAGGACCAGGAAUUUUGUUAGAUGUUGGCCUUUUUGAAAGCAGCGCCUACACUCAUUACAAAGUGUUUCUGAUCCAUUUUCAGGAAGCGCUCUGUUUGUAACACGUUGUUGGCAGUUUGGGCAGAGUCUUUUAAGUGGUGUGAAGUGCUGGGGAGUGUGCACUUGGGCUGGGCUGCCAGGAGGAGGUGGGUCUCCCGCCUCCUCUGCCCUUCUGGGAGGAGCCAGAAGUGCCUGGAUUUUUGUGACUUGGAAAUUAAAGCAAGAGGCAUGGGGAUUUUGAUGCUGAGAUCGUGAUUUGUCCUCAUUCGCCUCUGCCUGGGAAACUACAAAUGAGAAUUAAGGUAGGAAAACUAGCCAUACCAAGGGUUCUGUCUCAGCCUUCAUAAUAUGAAGCUGAAGAAUAAGUGGUUGUAGUUCCUCCGAGGGGAACUUCUUCAGUCUUGACCUAGUGCACUGAGUCAUUGAUUUCAAAUAACAAGAGACAAAAUGGGAAGAGCCAAUCAGCAUGUGAGCAGCAAAAUUGGUCUUGGGGAUGGUGCGAGUGGUUGUCUGUCCCAUUGUCAGUUGGUUGGUAGCAUGAGAUCACCAAGUUUAAUCCAGGGAGUCAGGAAUGACAGAGUGACGGGUCCUGGGAGUGGACCCUCCAUCUGUCUCACCAGCAGCCACUGGAGACGAAGCCCUCCUUGGUCCAGGAGGCUGCUGGGCAGGAAUAGGUGGGGAAGGUAGGAGGGUUGUGAAGCUUGAGUGUGGCCACUCCCCAGGGAGGGGCAUUGUGAGGUGGCCUUUGCUGGUUGUCUGGGCACUUUCUGAUGCAAAUGGAGGAAGCCAGGCCCAAAGGGCCUUUAUUAGGAAGUAAACUGGUCCAGCUCGGGAAAGUGAAGGAAGGAGGCUCCAGGACAUCAGAGACUGGGGUCAGCUCUCCUCUCUUCUUCAGCUCCAGGCAUGACUCUCAGCAUUACAUCCUUUCAGCUCUGCUUCCCCAGAGUUGAAACAAAUUCUCUCUCCAGCUUCCCCUGAAAAAAUCCGAGGGAAGGGCUCUGAUUGGCCCAGCACAGUCCUACCCACAGGGCCUUCAUUUAAACCUGACCCAUCUCCUCCGUGGAUGACUUCAGGACGUUCUACCUGGUCUCUGCUGCCAGUUUCCCUUUCCAGACCAGGCCACAUGUGCCCAAACUCAGUCUGAUGAAACCUUGGCAAAGUCAAGGAUCCAGGCCCUGCCCAGCCCGGUCUUAGACUUCCUCUGAAGUUUACCUCCCAAGCAUCCCCGAAGGACUCACAGCUCCAGCUAAACCUGGAGGCAAGACAACGCACUGCCAUGGCAGUGCGUGUUCCUCUCCAGUCCCCGCCGUGGGGGAAUAGAACGAUGUCCUUGUAAAGAGCAAGGCUGUGACUUGCUCACUUGUGCACCUCAGUACCUAGAGCAGAGUCUGAUGCAGAGAGGGGUUUAAUCAACAUUUGAUGGAGAAACAAACAGAUGAGUGAAGAAUCCCAAGAAACACUUAAGAGCUAAUGCUAUGACAGAACUGGAUAUUAAACUCCACGGGCUGGGAUGGUCCAGGAAGGCUUUCUGAUGGAGUCAGGACUCAAAAUGGAGCAGAGAGGGAACUAGCCUGGGACUCAGGGAGGAGUGGAGUUGGGAAAAUCAGUCUAGAAUGAAAGUGAGGAUGCUGGGGAGGGGAUGACUCCAGGAACUGGGAGGUCAAGCAAAGGUUGGACUGCAUGCAGUGGUCAGAGGGAGCCAGCGUAGGUUGUUGGGCCAGGGAAGGAUGUGGGAGAAAAGUCUAGAGUUUCUGGCUGGGGGCACUGGUCAUCCAUCUGUCUCACCUAAGACAGGACUGGCUCUCCAAAUCGCGGGGGACAGGGACGAUGGCCAGCUUGUUCCCAUGAGCAAGAAAAACCUUCAGGGGAAAGAAGGCCUCAAAGAAUGGCUAGUGUUAUAAAAAGAUUUUUUCCUUGUCAAAUCUAUGGGGGAAAUAUGUGUACAAUAGCUGUAGUAAUACAGUGAUUAUUAGUCCUUACUAAUUUAUUUUCAUGUUUUAAAUUUUCUUUGGAAAUCAG